rnacentral:rRNA from 1 species
GAUGAACGCUGGCGGCGUGCCUAAUACAUGCAAGUCGAGCGAAUGGAUUAAGAGCUUGCUCUUAUGAAGUUAGCGGCGGACGGGUGAGUAACACGUGGGUAACCUGCCCAUAAGACUGGGAUAACUCCGGGAAACCGGGGCUAAUACCGGAUAACAUUUUGAACCGCAUGGUUCGAAAUUGAAAGGCGGCUUCGGCUGUCACUUAUGGAUGGACCCGCGUCGCAGUAGCUAGUUGGUGAGGUAACGGGUCACCCAGGCAACGAUGCGUAGCCGACAUUGGCGGGUGCUCGGCCACGCUGGGACUGAGACACUGCCCAGACUCCUACUGCAGGCAGCCGUAGGGAAUCUUCCGCAAUGGACGAAAUUCUGACGGUGCAACGCCGCGUUAGUGAUGAAGGCUUUCGUGUCGUAAAACUCUGUUGUUAGAGAAGAACAAGUGCUAGUUGAAUAAGCUGGCACCUUUACGGUACCUACCCAGAAAGCCACGGCUAACUACGUGCCAGCAGCCGCAGUAA